rnacentral:rRNA from 1 species
CUACGGGUCGCAGCAGUGGGGAAUAUUGCACAAUGGAGGAAACUCUGAUGCAGCAACGCCGCGUGGAGGAUGACACUUUUCGGAGCGUAAACUCCUUUUAUAUAGGAAGAAGAUGACGGUACUAUAUGAAUAAGCGCCGGCUAACUCCGUGCCUGCAGCCGCUGUAAUACGGAGGGCGCAAGCGUUACUCGGAAUCACUGGGCGUAAAGAGCGUGUAGGCGGAUUAAAAAGUCAGAAGUGAAAUCCUAUAGCUUAACUAUAGAACUGCUUCUGAAACUCUUAAUCUAGAAUAUGGGAGAGGUAGAUGGAAUUUCUGGUGUAGGGGUAAAAUCCGUAGAGAUCAGAAGGAAUACCGAUUGCGAAGGCGAUCUACUAGAACAUUAUUGACGCUAAGGCGUGAAAGCGUGGGGAGCAAACAGGAUUAGAUACCCUAGUAGUC